AAGUCGUAACAAGGUCUCCGUAGGUGAACCUGCGGAGGGAUCAUUACAGAGUUCAUGCCCUUACGGGUAGAUCUCCCACCCUGUGUUAUUAUUACUUUGUUGCUUUGGCGGGCCGCCUUGGCCACCGGCUCACGCUGGUGAGUGCCCGCCAGAGGACCCCAAACUCUGAAUGUUUAUGUCGUCUGAGUACUAUAUAAUAGUUAAAACUUUCAACAACGGAUCUCUUGGUUCUG
rnacentral:misc_RNA from 1 species